AGACUGCAAGUGAAUCAACAAGCUGAAAAAGAAUCAAAAAGCAAAAACAAAAGAGGAAAAAAAGAAAAACACUUCUGAUCCUUCAGUUCACGUCCUUUAUACUUCAACUUGGAUACUUACUUGAGAGGGUUUUGUGGGUUUUUACAGAUAAACAAAAGCACUUUUCUAUUACACUUUAGUUUAAAAGUGCUUCUUAAAAGUCUUUCUUUCUCAACCUCUUUAACAUUCUUUCUGCCAUUUCCAUGGGGUUUAGUUGUUGUUGUUUUUUGUUACCCUUUUAACUUGGCAACAAGCUCUUGAUGCAAACAUAAACCAACGGUGGAGAUAUGUCUCAAACUAAUAAAGAUCCCGCUAUUAAGCUUUUCGGUGCUAAGAUUCCGGUUCCCGAUACUCUGGUUCCGGCUGUAUCCGAUUUCAUGGACAUUAGCAAAGAAAUAACUAUAACAGAAAGUAAUGGCCCAGAGACAGAUCAUUCUGAUGAGCUAGAUAAGUCCUCUUCUUUCAAUAAUAUCAAGGAAGAAGAGCAGGCUACUGUGCAAGAAAAUGAGGUUCAGGUUAAUCCUAAGAGCAAGGUUGAUCAGGCUGAGACAACUACAGACCAAGAGAAAGUUUUGAAGAGGCCUGACAAGAUCCUUCUAUGUCCUCGUUGCAACAGUUCAGAUACUAAAUUUUGUUAUUUUAACAACUACAACGUUAACCAACCUAGGCAUUUCUGCAAGAAUUGCCAAAGAUAUUGGACUUCAGGAGGAACCAUGAGAAAUGUUCCUGUGGGUGCUGGGCGACGUAAAAAUAAGCACUUUGCAUCUCAAUAUCGUCAGAUAAUGGUAUGUCCAGAUGGGAUGCCAAUUACUGGUCUAGAAACACCAAACUCAGCCAAUCACCAACUUAGAUCAUGUGGUGAUUCUGCAGCCACAUUGAUACCUUCAACUGAAAAUGGGUCAGUUCUAAAAUUUGGCCCUGAAGCACCUCUUUGUGAAUCUAUGGAGACUGUACUUAAUCUUGGAGACCAGAAGAAAACUGUUGAGAUGAGUGCUGUAAAUAUUGUGGAAAACCAAAAGGAGCCUGCCUCAUGUGGAUCUGCUGUGGCAGCUUCCAACAGUAAAGGAAAUGAAAUGCCUGAAAAUGUUGUGCAAAAGGAGUGUGUCAUGUUGUCAGGAUCUUGCAAUGAGCGAAAUACAUCACAUCCUAUGCAUUGUUACCCUGUACCUCCAUGGGGUGUUCCUUGGAAUCCAAGUUGGAACAAUUUAGUGUCCGUAGCAGCAGCUCAGUGCCCUUCUGAACAAGUUUGUAUGCCAAAUGGCAAUAAUCGCAGUCCAGUUCAGUGGUGCCCAAUACCGGUUCUGGCAGUUCCUGGAUACUGCCCACCCAACAUUCCUUUACAAUUUGUGCCUGCUGCAUAUUGGGGCUGCAUGACCAUGUGGGCUGCUGGAGCAGGGAAAAUAGCAGUGGGUGGUUCUAAUGGUUGCCUGUCUCGAUCAUCCUCUACAAGCAACAACAGUUGCUGCUCGGGUGAUGGCUUGCCAACUCUAGGCAAGCAUUUGAGGGACCCAAAUCUUAUAGAAGAAGAGCAAACAGAGAAGUGUAUUUUUGUGCCGAAAACACUGAGAAUCGAUGAGCCAGAUGAAGCUUCAAAGAGCCCUAUAUGGGCUACGCUGGGUAUUAAACCUAAUGACAUUGAUCCCAAAUCAGGAGAUGCAAUUUUCAAAGGUUUCAAACCCGAAAAGGAUGGUAAGGAUCAUCUACCGGAUGGUACUCAAAUCUUGGAAGCAAAUCCAGCAGCUCUUUCACGUUCUCAAACAUUCCAAGAGAGUACAUAAAGCACCACUAAUGUAAUUCUGGAAAAAAGAACUUUGGUUGUAUCAUCUUUGCUUAUUUUGGGCAAAUACUAUCUGUAUUCUAAGCAAGGGACAAUUGUACCAUGGUCUUCUUUUCUCUCUUUGCAAUGAACUUUGGAGAACUAGCUCUUGGAAAUGAAAAGCUGCCACGCAAUUACUAGGAGUACUGGAAAUUUCUUGAACCGAGCAAACUUUUGGACUGUAGAUCAUGGAGAGCUUUUGUUUUUCUUCUUUAUGUCUUAGUAUAUCUUCUGACCCUUUGUUUCAACUUUAAAAAAUAAGCACUUUCUUGAAGUUUUCUCUAUGCAAACAUGCCGCAUGUUGUGCCUUCUUAUUUCCUUCAUAAAAAGGUCCCUUUCGAAGGCAAAAACAUUCAAAGGUCCUAUCUAUAUAAUCAAUAUAUCCUGUUUGUUCAC